rnacentral:piRNA from 1 species
UGCCUUUUGCCCAGCAACGACAU